rfam:Caulobacter segnis ATCC 21756, complete genome.
GAAGGCGGCGACGCCCCCCCGACUUGAGGCUGGUGCAAACCAGCCUGCCGCCUUCGCACCCCCCUUUGUUGAUGCGAACUCAGGCGGACCGGCUAUCCGGCCCGCCC